GGAGUUUGGGCCGUGUCUCAGUCCCAAUGUGGCCGUCCGCCCUCUCAGGCCGGCUACUGAUCGUCGCUUUGGUGGGCCGUUACCCCGCCAACUGGCUAAUCAGACGCGGAUCCAUCUCUCACCGAUAAAUCUUUCCUCAGAAGACCAUGCGGUCCUCUGAGCGUAUGCGGUAUUACCAGCCGUUUCCAGCUGCUAUCCCCCUGUGAAAGGCAGGUUAUCCACGCGUUACUCACCCGUCCGCCACUAAACUAAAAGAAAUCACUCCGAAAAGAUCUUUCAAUCAGUCACGUUCGACUUGCAUGUGUUAGGCACGCCGCCAGCGUUCAUC
rnacentral:rRNA from 1 species